CCCCGGCGACUCUCUGCGUCUUUAACGAGGAGCAUAAAAAAAUAACGAAGCGUUUUAACCUUGAGGGCCAAAUCAGAGAGAGUGGAACACUGUGAGUACGCCGAGCUGGAUCAAGGUGAUUUUUUUUAUUUCUUAACCCCCCCCCCCCCACCCCUCCUCCCCUCCUUUUAUUACUGGGAAAUGUUUCUGCAGUUAAAAAGACACCAGUUCUUUUAACAGAGGACGCAGGUCGGCGUUCCCUGUCUCAGGUGUCUCUGGUUUCGAUGGUGAUGGCCGGUAGCCGGCAUGCAGGAACGUUACAAUUAGCGCGCUACGUAUCGAGCUCGCCGCUGACCCCGUGUCGGCUGCCUGCAGCGCCAUCAUUAAGCCCGGCAGCUUGUCCUGCAUUGUUCUCCAUUUUUGUUCCCCCCUCAACCUCUCUCCCUCUCUCCCUCUCUCUCUCUCUCUCUCUCUCCCGGCCUUGUCUCUGCGUUCUUGUUUUCAUUCCUCUCAAGUUAAUGAUCAGCAUCCCGGCACACAGAGAGAGUCACGCCGAGCCUUCGUGGCUCCGCCUGUCCUUUCAAGACGAAUGACGAGCGGCGUAAACAGAAAUAUGUAGUUCAAUUUCCCAGAUUCUCUCAGGGAUCCACAUUUAACAUCUGAACUUGAUACGGAAUAUUUCAUCAGGCCGAGCGGUUUAAUUAUUAAUAACAAAGAAUUGAUUAUGGCUUCUGGCUCCCUCGAGUUAAUCUCGGCGCUGAUGUGAUUAGAAAAUAAAAGUGGUUUGCGGGGAGCUGAGAAUUUGACAGAUCGACAGUGAGCUGUAAGAUUAAGCUUUGAGUGAAGGAAGAGAAUAAACCCUAGCGGGCAUCUUCAAAUCUUUCUUUAACAACUUCAAAACAAAAGCAGCUGAAUGCAUGAAGCUUCUGUUGUAUGUGCAUUCGGAGCGGAUUGUUUGUGCGAUGUUUGUCGAGGCCGAUGCGCGUGCUUUUUCAUCCUUUUCUCACUUUGUUCAGCGCUGCUCUGCGUCUGCAUCUGACUCACAAAAGCACUUUUAGCGUCUGCAUUGUAGGGUGAACACAAGAAGUGGACGUUGUCAUAGUGACGUCGUUUAUUUGUGUUGUCAUCUUUGGAAUUUGGCAGUCGCAAUGUUGUUGGUUUUUUAAACCGUGAACAAAAGUUUCCAUGUUUGGAAUAUGGAGGAGUACGAUGGCGAGCAGCCAGCUGUCUAUCACAGUAAGCCCCGCCCCAAAGCAUACCCUGCUUUACGGUCUAUAUGGCUCUGAAUUGACCAUAAUUCACUAAAUCGGCAACAUGCCUUUUUGCAGUUGACUAUAUCAGAGGUACUGAGGGAAUGAAUCCAAUGAGAAGUAGAGUCCUCAAUGAGAGUAGUCGCCCCCCGAUGGCCGGCAGAGGGGACGCUCGCCUUGUCUAUUCGUCCUUCGGCCUCCUCCGAGACAAGUAAAUAAGAUUAAAAAAAGAUUUUAAAAAAGAUGAAAGCCAAAAUCAAAGUCCACCAGCUCCCGGGCCCCUGGCAAACACAUGCAUAUUCAUGAAGCAGCACACACACACACACACACACACACACACAGACCGGCUGUAGGCCGGACAUGUCCAUCGCCACCGUCUCAGGAGUCACACUGAUGUGUUUUAAGUGGAGCUUGUGAGGGUUUUUGGACCUUUCAGCUUGCACAACAACACGCGUCUCAGAGGAUGAGCGCGCGGAUGAUUCCCUCUGAAGCUCCGUUAUUAAACAUUUUCUAAUGAUUUUCUUUUUCGCUUCAAGUCGGUGUCAAACGUGUUUUGAAUUAGAUCCAACAGGAAUCAGGCCUCUGCAACGAGCGACGUGUCUCCAAGCGUUCCUCUGAACUGGGGGGUAAUUUGGAGGCUCAGACACGAACGGAAAGUAGUCUGAGUCAACAGAACGUCACGGGUUGGUUGUUUUUUGCAGAUACAUCAAAUACUUCUUCAAGACUUUUAUUUCUGUGUGUCACAAUAACUAAUAAUUACAUUUAGAAGAAAAACGAGAAGAAAUUGAAGAAAUUGUCAAGUAACAAGUCACCCCAAUUUUCUAGUUUUUGUUGAACUAGUUAGUGAAGUAAAACACUUGCAGCCUUUAACUAAACGUUUGUAGUUGCACUUGUGUGCAACUCCUCACUAAAAACAAACGGUUUGGAAUAUUUAGACCCAACUUGUCAGUCACUGCUUUACACACAAUAUUUGAAAAAUACAGACCAGAAUAUACGUAAAACUAGCAUUCGAUUCACUUGGCAAAACAUUUCUGUCUAUUCCAAAGUACCUAAUAAUCAUGUUACGUCAUGCAGUAUUUUUACCCACGUUUAGACGUAAAGCACCAGAGACAAACUGGGAGUCAGAUGAUGUGGUGAAGGACGCCCGAGACAGAGACAGAGACAGAGACAGAGGCAGAGACAGAGACAGAGACAGAGACAGGGACAGAGACAGAGAUGUAGCUCAGCGUUGAAAGUGAUGAGGAUCUUGGAGCGAGUCCAAAGCCUCUUUUUUCUUCAUCCAGUUAAGGCGUCUGUCCUCCGUAUUUCUAUUUUGCUUUGUUCGUCACACACACACACACCUCGGCGUGUGAGAGGUGCCCACAGCGCCUCUCAAGCGGCUCGGAGUCGCGUCCUCCAGGCUUUCCGUUGUGCGCGGGGCGAGAAGUGGCUUCGUGCUCGCGGAUUUAGCGUCCCUCAUUUCCCAGAGAGCAAAGAGGCCAUUCAUGUCCUCCCUGCAAUGGUGAGGGAUAAGCUGCUGCUGGAGACUAGUAAUAGGCUUUUCACACCACAACGUUCGCAGGGCUGAGGGUGACUGUGUGUGUCUGUUGGGGGGGGCAUGCAUUCAUUUUGUUGUGGAUGCUCAACGAAUAACGUCUGGCUAAUUAACCAGCUUGCACUUGCAAUUUUAGCCUUGAGCGUUGAUGAAGGGCAUGAUGGCCGCCUGUGAAUAGUGGGAUAUCUUAUUUUAAAAAAUCCGUGUGACUCGAGAUGAAUGACGU
ensembl:lncRNA